CCUACGGGUGGCAGCAGUGAGGAAUAUUGGUCAAUGGGCGCGAGCCUGAACCAGCCAAGUAGCGUGAGGGAAGAAUGCCCUGCGGGUUGUAAACCUCUUUUAUAAAGGAAUAAAGUGAGGCACUUGUGCCUUUAUGAGUGUACUUUAUGAAUAAGGAUCGGCUAACUCCGUGCCAGCAGCCGCGGUAAUACGGAGGAUCCGAGCGUUAUCCGGAUUUAUUGGGUUUAAAGGGAGCGUAGAUGGGUUGUUAAGUCAAGUGUGAAAGUUUGCGGCUCAACCGUAAAAGUGCAAUUGAUACUGGCAGUCUUGAGUACAGUAGAGGUAGGCGGAAUUCGUGGUGUAGCGGUGAAAUGCUUAGAUAUCACGAAGAACUCCGAUUGCGAAGGCAGCUUACUAAACUGCCACUGACAUUGAUGCUCGAAAGUGUGGGUAUCAAACAGGAUUAGAUACCCCUGUAGUC
rnacentral:rRNA from 1 species